UCGUAGGGAUUCAAUGUGGGUUGGUGUAUUUGUAAAGAAUAGAGAUAGAGAGAGCGUGUGGCUGAUUGAUUUGAAUCAUUGAGGGGAGGGGAGCAAGUUCUUUUUUUCCUUUUUCUUUCAAGUACGCCUGUAUUUUUUUUCCUACAUUACUUAUGGUUCCACGGAUCAAAUCAAGAACCAUGAAGGGUAGAUGCUGGUAAUCGACUGUUUUUGGGAGAUAAAAGAAAUUAGUGGAGAUAAGCUGUUUGCAGCAAGUUUUCUGUCACUUUGAAAGUUCUUUGUUGAUCUAAUUAACUUUAGGGAAGAAAUCUGCACUGGCUCUACAAAAUUUGUUGUCUUUGCGAGGGAUCUUGACAGUAGGAACCCGUGCAUCUUGGCGGAUGCGACCGGCACUUUGCGAAGGGCGGAAGUGGUCAUUAUGCAUGAAUGCUUUUUUGGACAGGGCAACUUGGCAAAUCUGGAUGAUGGAAUUUCUUUCGGAGCUGAAUGUUGAGAUGUCUCUUCUCAGUCGUCCACUGCUUGGUUCUUGAUUGAAGCCUUCGAUCUUGAUGAGGUUUCGGAUCCCCUCUGCUUAGAUCCUGAUGACGAAGGCACGUUUGACUCUGGGUGUGUCCAUACCGCCGGUGAGAGCUUGGCUGCUGCCACCUAGGUCGAGUCUGGAAAGGGGAAGCCGGCAGACAUGCGAGACUCUUUAACCCCACCGAGCCUUGGAAGGAAUGUGCCGGAGGUGUAUUUGGUUUGCAUCCUACCAAGCCCUGACAAAUUGGUAACUAGGGCAGUAGGUUCCUUUGGGGGUGGUGGUUUCCCUUGUUUUGCUGGUGAACGAGGGUGCUUCGAUCGGGCUUGGCGGAAGUGAUCUAGUCAGGUCUCCUUGAAGGGAAGUGCGUUCUCCGAAAAAUGCGAACAUGUCAGUUCUUGCCAAUCCUCUAAAUGAGUCCUUGUGGGAGGAUCCAGCCAUAGGCUUCAAAGUGGAGCGGGUACAAAAACUUAUCUGUGAGGUACUUUUCGCAUUCUACAUUCCCUUUUUACUCUCUUGAUCUUGAGUCUGCUGUCUAAUCUCUGAACUUGUGUAAGGAAUAAGAUCACUAGCCCAUCGCAUUGCUGAAGGUGAGGUACGGCGUCUCCAGUCCAUAGUGGAGCAGGGGAGGGAAGAAUAGGAGUGCUUGGAUGUAGAGCUGGUAGUGGCUCAAAAGUGGGCUCUGAAGACCUAGGAGUCCCUGAGUAGGCUCCAACAAUAGAUCGCUGCGCAAAACCCGAAUAACCACAUCCUGACCGGCAAUCCUCUCAUGGGCAUCAGCCAGGUCGGCCAGCGCCUCUUCCUCGCAUACCUGAGCCGCAGCUAACAAAUCCUCGCGAUCCUUCACAAUGGCCAAUAGGUCGGAACACUCCCCCUCCAGCAUCUUGAUCCAACGAAAGAGAAGCUCUUGCAGACCCCUUAGCUCCUCAUUCUCCAUUUGGAGAAGCUCCAGGGGAGAAUGAGGAGUUGAGGGGUCAUCAGGCCUGUUACCUCAUCUCCAGGCCAGAGAGGAGUAGGAGUAGGAGAAGGGUCUGCGACGGGAGGGACAACAGAGUAUCUCUCCUUCAACUCGAUCUCUUUGGAGAGAGUCCAUAGAGCUCAUGCUGACCACGUCCCCCAUCGAGGUGAUUUGUCUCCUGCUUUCCUUCAUCUUGGGGUUGUUUGUAUCCUGGGAGCUCGGGAUGGUGCCUAUCUAGGGUUACUGUUUGAAUCUUGGGAGUCGCUAUUCCUUUUUGCCGAUGGUACUGUACCUUGCUGGGACCGAUUCAUGCCUUCGAGUUGUUCUUUCUCUUUUGCAUCUCUUUGCAUGGUUUCUCGCUGUUGUAUCGUAUUCUCCUGGUUGUAAUCAUCUUCGCAGUUGAUGAAUAAAAUUCUCUUCUUUA